AGAGUUUGAUCCUGGCUCAGGACGAACGCUGGCGGCACGCUUAACACAUGCAAGUCGAACGAGAGAAGAGGAGCUUGCUUUUCUGAUCUAGUGGCGGACGGGUGAGUAACACGUGAGCAAUCUGCCUUUCAGAGGGGGAUACCGAUUGGAAACGAUCGUUAAUACCGCAUAACAUAAUUGAACCGCAUGAUUUGAUUAUCAAAGAUUUAUCGCUGAAAGAUGAGCUCGCGUCUGAUUAGCUAGUUGGUAAGGUAACGGCUUACCAAGGCGACGAUCAGUAGCCGGACUGAGAGGUUGAUCGGCCACAUUGGGACUGAGACACGGCCCAGACUCCUACGGGAGGCAGCAGUGGGGAAUAUUGCACAAUGGAGGAAACUCUGAUGCAGCGAUGCCGCGUGAGGGAAGAAGGUUUUAGGAUUGUAAACCUCUGUCUUCAGGGACGAAAAAAGACGGUACCUGAGGAGGAAGCUCCGGCUAACUACGUGCCAGCAGCCGCGGUAAUACGUAGGGAGCGAGCGUUGUCCGGAAUUACUGGGUGUAAAGGGAGCGUAGGCGGGAUCGCAAGUCAGAUGUGAAAACUAUGGGCUUAACCCAUAAACUGCAUUCGAAACUGUGGUUCUUGAGUGAAGUAGAGGUAAGCGGAAUUCCUAGUGUAGCGGUGAAAUGCGUAGAUAUUAGGAGGAACAUCAGUGGCGAAGGCGGCUUACUGGGCUUUAACUGACGCUGAGGCUCGAAAGCGUGGGGAGCAAACAGGAUUAGAUACCCUGGUAGUCCACGCCGUAAACGAUGAUUACUAGGUGUGGGGGGACUGACCCCUUCCGUGCCGCAGCAAACGCAAUAAGUAAUCCACCUGGGGAGUACGACCGCAAGGUUGAAACUCAAAGGAAUUGACGGGGGCCCGCACAAGCAGUGGAGUAUGUGGAUUAAUUCGAAGCAACGCGAAGAACCUUACCAGGUCUUGACAUCGUAUGCAUAGCUCAGAGAUGAGUGAAAUCUCUUCGGAGACAUAUAGACAGGUGGUGCAUGGUUGUCGUCAGCUCGUGUCGUGAGAUGUUGGGUUAAGUCCCGCAACGAGCGCAACCCUUACUGUUAGUUGCUACGCAAGAGCACUCUAGCAGGACUGCCGUUGACAAAACGGAGGAAGGUGGGGAUGACGUCAAAUCAUCAUGCCCCUUAUGACCUGGGCCUCACACGUACUACAAUGGCUGUCAACAGAGGGAAGCAAAGCCGCGAGGUGGAGCGAACCCCUAAAAGCAGUCUUAGUUCGGAUUGUAGGCUGCAACCCGCCUACAUGAAGUCGGAAUUGCUAGUAAUCGCAGAUCAGCAUGCUGCGGUGAAUACGUUCCCGGGCCUUGUACACACCGCCCGUCACGCCAUGGGAGUCGGUAACACCCGAAGCCUGUAGUCUAACCGCAAGGAGGACGCAGUCGAAGGUGGGAUUGAUGACUGGGGUGAAGUCGGAACAAGGUA
rnacentral:rRNA from 1 species